UGAAGUAUAUCUCUUUGUAUCUUACCUGC
rnacentral:piRNA from 1 species